GACUUUUUUCAGUUCAUAAGUAUAAGGACUGGGUUUUCAGGCUCGUGUGUGACAUAUGCCUCCUUCAAACCUUGUCGUGAUCCUGGCACAUUACCUAUCUGACC